rnacentral:rRNA from 1 species
GAUGAACGCUGGCGGCGUGCCUAAUACAUGCAAGUCGAGCGAACAGACGAGUAGUUUGCUCCUCUGACGUUAGCGGCGGACGGGUGAGUAACACGUGGAUAACCUACCUAUAAGACUGGUAUAACUUCGGGAAUCCGGAGCUAAUACCGGAUAAUAUAUUGAACCGUAUGGUUCAGUAGUGAAAGACGGUUUUGCUUUCACUUAUAGAUGGAUCCGCGCCGCAUUAGCUAGUUGGUUAGGUAACGGCUUACGAAGGCGACGAUGCGUAGCCGACCUGAGAGGGUGAUCGGCCACACUGGAGCUGAGACACGGUCCAGAGUCCUACGGGAGGCAGCAGUAGGGAAUCGUACGCAGUGGGCGAAAGCCUGACGGAGCAACGGCGCGUGAGUGAUGAAGGUCUUCGGAGCGUAAAAAUCUGUUAUUAGGGAAGAACAAAUGUGUAAGUAAAUAUGCACGACUUGACGGUACCUAAUCAGAAAGCAACGGCUAACUACGUG